CUACAACAUAGACGUAUAUACAAAUUGGAAAAGGCUUAAACAUAAUAAUGCACUACUCUUGUUUAAUGCUAGAUAAAUACCACGACUGCACUUGUUACAUAUAAUUGCCAACCGUGUAUACUUAGCAUGUUUUACAACUGAACAAGCGUAUAGACACCAAUUGUUUAAACAACUAGGAAUAACAGCUAUGUUAAACCUACAGCGAC